ensembl:lncRNA
UGUGUGUCUGUGUGGGUGUGGGUGUGUUGGUGUGUGUGUGUGUCUGUGUUGGUGUGUCUGUGUGGGUGUGUUGGUGUGUCUGUGUGGGUGUGUUGGUGUGUCUGUGUGGGUGUGUUGGUGUGUUUGUGUGUCUGUGUGGGUGUGUUGGUGUGUCUGUGUGGGUGGUGUGUGUUUGUGUGGCUGUGUGGGUGUGUUGGUGUGUCUGUGUGGGUGUGUUGGUGUGUCUGUGUGGGUGUGUUGGUGUGUCUGUGUGGGUGUGUUGGUGUGUUUGUGUGUCUGUGGGUGUGUUUGUGUGUCUGUGUGGGUGUGUUGGUGUGUCUGUGUGGGUGUGUUUGUGUGUCUGUGUGGGUGUGUUUGUGUGUCUGUGUGGGUGUGUUGGUGUGUCUGUGUGGUAGCACAGUAAAGAAGCAGUUCAGAAUACCAAAGUGGAUACCGGUUAUGAGUCCACGCUGGAGGGACAUUUUCCUUUUAUUCUUUUUCCAGACCCUGUCACACCUCAUUGGAGUCUGGUGUGUGGCACGCUGUCUGUGGGCGUUAUUAACAGUGUUAACCAUUACAGUUUUCAUAGCCCUGUCGUUGAUGGAGGUAAUGCAGUCAGCCUCGUUCUCACUGUAAUCUGUUUUGCGUCUGUUUUUCGAUGAUGUAAUACUGUCUGGUUGUUUUUCCCACACACACACAACGGUUGCCACUUGAUAAGAUUGGAGCAGGUUAUGUUAUCUAUGUUUUCGUGUUUUUUUUUUUUUUUAUCCCUUUUUAUGCCAUUGACCUUAUAUGGCUUUGAGUUGAGCAUCUGGCUCGCCUGUCUUGACUUGCAGGCAAACUUGUAUCAGGUGCUAUUGAAGCGUUUUAAAGAAAGCCUUUGUGGUGCCCCGGCCUGCUUGAUGUUCUCUCGGACCGUGGCAUGGGAAGUUGAAGCUCUUUUUCCACUUGGUCGCACAAAUGGAAAAAUAGAUUUUCCUGGGAAAAUGUCUAUAUUCGUCUUAAAACGUAGACCCCUUUAUGACCCUGCAUCUUUUUCGUCCAAAGUUUACACACACACACACACACACACACACACACACACACACACACACACACACACACACACACACACACACACACACACACACACACACACACACACACACACACACACACACAGUGUGGGAGUUGUUUUAUUUCUCUUUUCCCCCACUGAGUUUGUGUUCACAGACUGGGUUACUAUGGCGACGGGGACUGUCUGGAGUCGGGUCUGUUAUGUCGCCCUGAACCAACAGUGGGUCUUUGUGGCUGUUCACUAAGCUACAAAAAAAACUAAACCCGGGAAUAGUUUAGGAAAUUGUCAACUAAAUCAUCGGUCCAAAUAAGUACCUUUUGUCAUUGAGGUGCACGUUGGGGAGAUGUUAUCCUUACUAUGUAUACUUUAAAGGCCUUUUUGACUCUACAAAGUUAUAUACUCAUCUCUGUUCCAGAAGUCAUUAAUUUGUGAUUGCAAUCUGAAGAGGAAUCGGCACCCCAUGUGUUUGACAGUAUUAAAGGCAUACCUAUAGACCUCCUAUAUUUAUAUAGCCAUGCACUAUGCUGUGGUCAGAGGUAUAUUAUUUGGCAUCUGGCUUUAUAGACCGCUUUCAAGAGAUUGUAUACUGUAUAACCGCUAACGCAGCUUAUUAUUAUGAAACUAUUACCAACAGGUUUAGUCUAGAAACCUGAGCGGAAUCUAUGUUUUAAACAAAGCAUCGACACUUACUCGGUUAGUUAUGCUGAUCGCCCCAUCAUCAGCACACAGAUAUUAUGUAGGCGUCCAUUUAGAUCACAGAACCUCAAUGCGUGUGUGUCAAAAUGUGACGAAUCGGUAUGCAUAAAUCCGCAGGGAGUCAAAUGAGGGCUGAACGAUUAAUCAAAUUCAAAUCGAAAGCGCAAUGUAAUACAAAGCGGUAUGCGAAUCGCAAAGGCUGCGAUAAAAAAAAAGACUGGAAAUCAGUACGAUUUAUUUAUUUUUAUUUUACAAUUCAAUAGUUUAAUAAAGAAGUUUAUAAUAUAAAUUAAUCUCAACACAUCUGCCUGGCCUAAAGGAAAGCUUUUUCUGUUGACUGCUUCCAAUGUUGUGUUGGUCAUACUAAGAAUGAUUUAUUUAUUUUUCAGUGAAUAAUACACAUCAUAAGGAACUUAAUAAAUUAUAAAAAUCGCACAUUAAAUCGCAAACGCAAUAUUUGUCAAAAUAAUCGCAAUUCGAUUAUUUCCUCGAAUCGUUCAGCCCUCGUUCAGACCGUGGCUUUGUUUUCGAAUGAAUGCUAUAUAUGUUAGCCUUGGCCAAAGUAUAGGAAGAAAGUCAUUCGUACUGCUAGUUCGCCUGUUAGUCCCUUUUGCAAAUGGAGAUGUUAAGAUUGCACAGGCUGAUGACCGAAUUAUCCUUUUGUAAAACGAUGCAUUUAUUCUAUUUUAUUACUGUAUUUAAAGCUCAUAUAAAGAAGUGUUCUUGUGUUAAACCACUAUUUUGUUAUCUGUUGAUACUGGAAAUAAAUAUAAUUUACAAAACCCUUUGAGUGUUACUUUUUAAGUUUGAUUAUGGUAUAGUAAUGUUUUCUUAUCGUCCUAAGCUGCUUAAUUAGAACUUGAA